rnacentral:sRNA from 1 species
CAGAUAUAUAAUUUUGGAGAAAAAUAUUUAAAAUUUGAGGAAAAAUUAGGCACGUGUAUUAGGAGGGAGAGGGAGAGAGAGUAUGCAAGCAGCAGCGCAAGCAACACAUGCAGUGCAGGCAAGCAACGCGGCACGGGAGCAACGUGGGCGAGCGGCAGUGCGGGGGCGAGCGUUGACCAAUAAGUGAAACAUUAAGUUAUAUAUGGUGAAAAAAAAUCAGCAAUUGAAACAUUUAAAUAUUUUAUGAAACAUGGUGAAGAUACACGUUGAAACAUGUCGCUGUCACAUAUAAAACAACAAGUAUUAACGGAUUAAAACAUAUAUUUUUCUUUUAUCAAAAUAUAAUCAUGCGAUAUCUUGUUGUAAAGAUUUAAUUACAACGAAUACAAUGGUGUGGUCGGAUCAUUGAUCGAAUAAGUAAUUUAAAAGAAAAAUCAUUUUGAAGCUUGCUAAAAUACAUGCAUGUAUGCAUGCAUGAGGUGGAGAGAGAGUAGUAGCAGGUAGUUUCAGGAUUUUUGUGAAACACACCGAAGACACAUAUUGAAACAUAUCACUAUCACGUAUGAAACAUUUUAUUCUAACGGUUUGAAACACAUGUUUUUCUUUUGACGUAAUAUAAUCAUGUGGUAUCUUAUUGUAAAGAUUUAAUUUCAACGAAUACAACGGUGUUAUCGGAUCGUAGAUCGGAUAAGUAAUUUAAGAGAAAAAAAUAUUUAAAGAGAGGAGGAAAGAAUGAAAAGAAACAGCUAGGCACAUACGUUACAGUGACAGGGUUCGUUCUCACAUGCGCUCGUUGCCUGGCUAGACGUUCGAUUUUUGGUGUGAUGCCGGACGUCCGAGCCGUAGAGCUCUCCCAAUAUUCCUUCUCUCCCUUCAUAUUCCCCCCAUAUAUAUAUAACCACCUUUUUGAUAAAUUUCAAACUAUUUUUUCUCUUAACUUACUUCUAUAAUCUAAGAUCCGUUUGGUCCAUUAAAUUUGUUGUAAUUAAAUCUUUGAAACAAGACCACACAUGGUUAUAUUUUGAUAAAAAAAUAUUUAGCUUUUCUUAAUGUAUUAUUUUAAGUGUUGCAUAUGGUUUUAUUUGGAUGUUUCAGCAAGUAUUUUAUGGUGUUUCAAUAGUUAGAAUCUAAUGUUUUCAUACAUGAUGUAAAAAUGUUUCACUAUAUUAUCAAGUGUUACAAAUAUAUUGUAUGUUUUAGAUAUUAUUUUUCCGAUUGUUUCAUUGUUGGGACUCAAUGUUUUAAUGUUUUAUAUAGUGGCUAAAUGUUUCAUAUAGUAGUUAUUGGUCUUGCAGUCAAUAUUUGAAAUGCUGCAUCUCUCUAAAAUAUUUUGUAAAGUGAAAUAAAAUAUUUUUAUC